ensembl:lncRNA
AACAGUUGCUUCCUCCAAACAUAAAGUCAGAAACAGGCAUGGUUUGAGCAGGCUGGGGUGUAUUAUCCAAAAUAUACUAUCAGUCCAAUCCUAGGGAAGAAGAAAGAACUGAACAUUCUAAACCAAAAUAUUUGCACAGUAUUUAUAUUUCUAAGACAUAGUCAUGACAAUAUUUCAUAGUGAGUUCCUCUUAGGGUCUAUCCUUGGCUGUCUGACUUAUCAAAAUAGCUUUACAGAAUAGGUUGUAGUUAUCAUAACAGGGUCAGUUUCUUUAGUCUGCGUCUAAGAAAACAUCUGGCAUAAAUCUGGAAGCUUAAAGGGCUACAGUACUUUGUGAUUGAGAACUUGGAUGUGUGGAUGUCACCAUUCCCAGAUUUCAACACCAAAGGUCCCUUUCCCACCAUUUUUACCUCUUGUUUUCCUUAGUUUUGAGGGAGCAAGACAAGGGAAUGCCAGAAGCUUGCUCUCUUGACACCAUCGUUCCUAGAGUCUUCAAUUAGUACAAACAUUUCUCUGACUAUAAUAGUACAACAUACUCAUUAGAGAUACUUACAACUGGAGGAAUGGAAGAGGAAAACAUCUCAUGAUCUCAACGCCCAAGACUUUAAUCUAGGCUCUAGACAUAUAUCUAGCUGCCUUGCAGAUGUUUUUCAUCACCUAAGUGCCUAAAAGGUAUAUUUUUGAAAAAAUUUAUUUUACUGUAGUCUAGUUGAUUUACAAUGUUGUGUUAAUUUCUGCUGUACAGCAAAGUGAUUCAUAAUUUUUUCAGUCAAAUGAUUCAGUCCUAUUAAACUAUCAAAAAUCCAGUACUGAUAUAUUCUGAUUAGUUUUGCUUCAUUUUUGUUUUUCGUAAAAACAUUAAGUAUUCCCUGACCCUGAUGACAGUGGGUUAAAUUGUACAUGGAACUCUCCAAGUGUCCCCUGAAGUGGUAACGGGAAAACUGUAUACACACACAUGCAUAUAUCUAUAUAAAUAUUGGAAAAUUUAGCUAGUUUAACCAAAUAUCUAAAGUGUCAUAAGUACUAGUUAGGCAUAAAAGUGAUUGCAUGUGCUUUGCGUCAUGUUACGUGAAAAUUUGAUUCCUGCCCCUGAACACUUUUCCAUGCAUUACCUUGUUCAUCUCUUUUCCCCAUUUGAACAGGCUGGUACACUGCCUGGGGGCAGUGCAAGCCUUUGAAGUUUAAGAUAUUCUUCCUUGGCAUGAGGUUCUCAUCUUAGAAUCUUGACAGCUGGAUGGGCUUGAAUUAGUAUCAUUCAGACCUGGAAAGAAAUGCCAAAGUAGUAUAUAUUCUGUGUAGUUAAAAGCUGUUGCUGUAAGUGGAGAUACAUCUUUCCAAAAUAAGCAUAUCAUUUCAAAUUGGUACAAGUACAGAAUCAUUUCUAGCUACCUCAAUUGAAAUGCACCAGUGGACAUUAUGAGAUAAAUACCAAGUACCCCGCAUCCACUGCACUGAAAAUACAAGGUCACUAUGUCAGGUCAGAUGCUAUGAGAGUUUGUCUUUUCAUGGAAGUUAUUCCUCCUGGUCUUUUUUUUUUUAAUUACUCAAUGAAUUUUAUUACACUUAUAGUUGUACAACGAUCAUCACGACCUGAUUUUAUAGCAUUCCCAUCCCAAAUCCCCAGUAUUCUGGUCUUGGGAGUAGCUGCUUAGGUUUGUGGUGUGCCAGCCGUGCUAGAGAAUGGUGCCCAGCGAACUCUGGAAGUCUCACUGCUGGGGAGAACCGUGUUUGGUCUCCUUGAGAUUAUGGGGAAGAGCCAGGGUAUAAUCCUUGCAGCUACAGGAAGAGGCAAUACCUGCUUAUAAUUUUCUCCUGGCUCUAAGCAUGUACCUGACUUUUUUGAAAAAUCAAAAUGGGUUUAAGGACACUAUAGAGAAUUCUUUGAUAAUAAGAAAACAGGGCAGGAGGGGCAAAGUGCUCACAUAAGACUGGCUCCUUCUGGUCUUUUCUCACUGGGGCUCAGCUUGGCUUGCUGUUUGGACUCUCCCAGCACUGGUCUGCUCUCCAGUGAGGCUGCAGCCUGGCAACUCUGCUGAAGCUGCUUUAAUGUUCUCACGUUCUUGCUCUUCUCAUCUUGGCCGUAUUAAUAGUGUUGACCCACUUUUCACUGCCAAAUUCUGCUUUUAGCUCUGGCGGCCACUGGUGUCAUGGUGCUUGAUCUUUCUGCCCAGCAUCCUCACUGCUCUCAGAUCCCUUGCUUUGCCCUUGGUUUUAAUGUGUGGAUGUCAUUUAUUGAAUAUUUUUAGUGCCAGCAACUGUGCUAAGUAACUUAAAGGUAUAUGUCAUUCUACCCUCAGACAACAAUUCAAACUAUUCUAGUAUCAGUUUUACAGAUAAGGUAGCUGAGGCAUAGUCAUUUAUUUUAUGCAUGAAGAAGGAAAAGAUAAUUACGAGGCCUUGCUAGCUAUAAAGUUCUUUAUCUUCUAAAUUGUAAUUAGGUUGAAUUUGAAGUCCAAAUCCAAAUACUGAAGUUAAUUUGAAUUCUUUUUUGUCAUAAUUUUUAAAGGCCUUUAAGAGUUUAUAUCUAUGGGAUAUACAUAUUAAAUUUUCCAAGUCUGGGUAGCUCAAAAAGGACUUGAAGACAUAAAAAGUUUUAAUCACAGCCAAACACAACAUGAUACAUUAUAGUGUUUUUCUCUCCAACUUUAUUCCUAAAAUGUAUUGAUCUUAGCUGCCCAGAAUGCCUUUUGUUACUUAAAGUGCUACUUGAAGACUUAACACUCACAAAGCCUCAGGUGAGAUUUCAUUAGCUAGAGUUGAGUCAGAAAGAGCGAGACCUAAAGAUGUGAGAAACAUAGGAGAUGAUUUUUUCUGAAUAGGAAUAUGGGACAUAGGACACUGUUCUACACAGGGGGCCACAUCACCCCCUGUGUCUCAUCUAGACCACAUCCUUGUCUCUUAAAACCAAGUUCAAAAGCCAGGUCUGAGAAUCCUCUGAUUUAGCACCCUCGUGACUGCUGUCCCCUGAUUGUAGCCUUAAGUCUGUACUUUGCACCUGACAGACUGGGUUCCUUCAUAAAAUGUUCUUGUUAUAUGUCUUGUCUCCCCAAGGAGUUUACACAAGUACAACUUUUAGGGGUCAGGGACUAUGCCAUAUUUCUUUGGAAAACCCCCUCAAGAUAUCUUGUGGGUGCUUGUCACCUUCUAUUUAAUGUAUACUGGAGGAGAUAUAAACCAGGGUAGGCAACUGAAUUCUCAAAGAGUCGGAAUUAAUGGACAUUACUCCUUUACUGCAAGCCUGGGUAGUUUCAAGUGCAACUGCUAGAAAAAGGAACCUAUUACUAAGGAAGGCACCUUGCCUUGAAAAAUUCCUUUUAAUGAGAAAAAAAAGGUAAGUGAUAUAAUACAGUUGAGUUCACAUUCUGUAACUCUACACUUCAGUUUGGUGCCCCACAAACCAGUCACUUGCCACAGUGGAACUGGGAAGGAAAUGGUUUUUCAUGCAAGGUUGGUGGUUUUAAAAAGCAAUGUUGGGAGUUCCCAUUGGGGCUCAGUGGUAACGAACCUGACUACUAUCCAUGAGGACGCAGGUUUGAUCCCUGGCCCCACUCAGUGGGUUAAGGACCCAGUGCUGUCUUGAGCUGCAGUGUAGGUCACAGAUGCAGCUCAGAUGUGGCGUUGCUGUGGAUGUGGUGUAGGCCAGCAGCUGCAGCUCCUAUUCAACCCCUAGCCUGGGAACUUACGUAUGGUGCAGGUGCAGCCUUAAAAAGACCAAAAAAAAAGAAAUGGUACACGCCUAUUGGUUGAAUCCAGAUUGGCCCCAUCCCCAGGAAUCAGGGAGAGAAUUUUGACAUUACAGAGAUCUUAUGUAUUUAGAGUAGUCACUAGAUUCAUUAUUUGCUGGAGAAAUACAUAUCUUCUCAAAAAUUGAUGGCAUUUGACUGCUCUUUUCUUGGUCCUUCUGGAAUAACUAUCUCUUUCAGAGACAAAAAACAACCAUGCACUCAGAAAUUUCCUUACUUCUGAAAUUUAACAGAAAUUUCCUUAUUUCAAAAACUCUUACUUGAGACAGAAGCCAGUCUUGAGGAUUUGAAACUUCAGAAGCCUAUGAGAUUUUGGUUUUGCCUUUUGUAAACAGCUAAAGUCAGUCGACCCUUGGGAGGUUUGUGUGUAAUGCUGGCUGAUGCUGGGCUUGGCUCCUUUAGAGUCUGGUACUUCUAGGAAAGUGGAGAGAACUGUUUUCCAGAUGUUCAUGCUGAAUGUAGGCCUGCUCAAAUAAUUGCUUCAAACCACUUAGCUGCUGAUGGAAUAUACCAGCGAGAGAAAAGAAAGGAGGAACACAACUGGUAGAGGUAAAAAUGAAGGUCAGGCUAUACUUUCAGCUCUUCCGAUCUUGCCCAAACUUAUUCAUUCCACUUGCUUUUUUAUUUUCAAGUUCUUUAUUUGGAACUGGCUGUGCCUUCACAAUUCUGUAGGUAUUUGUAAUUUUAGCAGCCUCUAAUGUGCUCUAGAGCAGUGCCUCUCAGUCUUGACUACAGUCCAGAGUAAGAAAUACACUUUAUACAACCAUCUAAUCUAUGAUAUGCAUAGCUGAUAUAUUCCAUUUUAGAAUGCUGGUUAUUACCUAUCAAAUUAAUUGCACAUCCUAUUAAAGGGUCAAUACUAUCAGUUUUUCUAAUGAAACAUGGCCUAGCUUCUGAUAAUGCUGCAUCUCUACCAUUUUAAUUUCUUGUUCUAGGUUGAACAGCUCAGGAUGCUGUUUCUUCUUUUGUCGGGACAAUUAGUUUUUAAACCUGGAACCCAUCUAAAGUGGCCAUCAGUCCUCCCACAGUCUUCUCAACCGUGUACUUAGAGGUCUAUUGUCUUCUGUCUGGCAAGUUCAUGUUUAUUUUCCAGGGCCCAGACCUUUCAUAAUAAAGGAUAAAGAAGAGACAGGUAUAAAGAAAUUGUUUUAGUUCUCUUGUGGCACAUGCACAGUGGGUUAAGGAUCCUGGGUUGACACUGCAGCAGCUUGAGUCACUGCUAUGAUCCCUGGCCCAGGAACUUCCA